UACGGAGGGUGCAAGCGUUUGUCCGGAUUUAUUGGGUUUAAAGGGUGCGUAGGCGGCCCUGUAAGUCAGUGGUGAAAUACUGCAGCUUAACUGUAGCAUUGCCAUUGAUACUGUAGGGCUUGAGUACAGAUGAGGUAGGCGGAAUUGAUGGUGUAGCGGUGAAAUGCAUAGAUACCAUCAAGAACACCGAUUGCGAAGGCAGCUUACUAGCUGUAACUGACGCUGAGGCACGAAAGCGUGGGGAUCGAACAGG
rnacentral:rRNA from 1 species